UUCCUCUCUCAAAAUCGGCCCCCAAAACAUUUUCUCUUCGUUAUUCUCCAAAUCCCUAAAAAAACCCCCCAAAACCCUAAAACCUAAAACAGGGCUAUAAUCGGAAGCUUGUUUCAUUAGAUUUGGAGGAAUAAAAGAAAAGAGUAGAAAGGGGGAAUGGAUUCAGAUCAGGGGAAGCUGUUUAUUGGAGGGAUAUCAUGGGAAACAAGUGAGGAUAGGCUAAAGGAGUACUU
rnacentral:lncRNA from 1 species